CUCAGCAAAACUGUUCGCACCAUAGACUGUAUUGCCCUGCUGCUGCAACGAGCUUUAUUGACUCGUAGAAAAUCGCUUGGUGACAGGGCUAUUUUCCAUUUGACAAACUGAGGGUAAUCGACGAAAAACGAUUGUUAGUGAUAAUACGCUACUGAGCGAACAACUCGUCAUGGAGUCAUAUGACAUCAUAGCUAACCAGCCUGUUGUCAUUGAUAAUGGUUCAGGUGUGAUCAAGGCUGGCUUUGCUGGAGACCAGAUCCCCAAAUACUGUUUCCCAAACUCUGUGGGACGUCCCAAGCAUGUACGUGUAAUGGCAGGUGCACUCGAAGGGGAUCUUUUCAUUGGCCCCAAAGCAGAGGAGCACCGGGGGCUGCUGUCUGUGAGGUAUCCCAUGGAGCACGGCAUAGUGAAGGACUGGAAUGAUAUGGAGCGUAUCUGGCAGUACGUCUACUCAAAGGAGCAGCUGCAGACCUUCUCUGAGGAGCAUCCUGUGCUGCUGACAGAGGCGCCCCUGAACCCCAGUAAAAACCGUGAGCGGGCAGCUGAGGUUUUCUUUGAGACCUUUAAUGUUCCGGCGCUAUUCAUCUCCAUGCAGGCCGUGCUCAGCCUGUACGCCACAGGGCGGACGACAGGUGUGGUGCUGGAUGCGGGUGACGGGGUGACCCACGCCGUGCCCAUCUAUGAAGGCUUUGCCAUCCCCCACUCCAUCAUGCGUGUGGACAUCGCUGGUCGUGACAUCUCCCGAUUCCUGCGUCUGCUCCUGCGCAAGGAGGGCUAUGACUUCCACACCUCUGCCGAGUUUGAGGUGGUCCGCACCAUCAAAGAGAGAGCGUGCUACCUGUCCCUGAACCCUCAGAAGGACGAGACCCUGGAGACAGAGAAGGCACAGUACACCCUACCCGAUGGAAGCACGCUGGAUAUUGGCCCGGCGCGUUUCCGGGCCCCAGAGCUGCUGUUCCGGCCAGACCUGAUCGGGGAUGAGAGCGAGGGCAUCCACGAGGUGCUGGCCUUCGCCAUCCAGAAGUCUGACAUGGACCUGCGACGCACGCUCUUCUCCAACAUCGUGCUGUCUGGAGGCUCCACACUGCUCAAAGAAAACUACAAAAUGGCUGAGUAUUCACUGUUCAGCUUCUGAAAGUAGCACCAGACGACUCACCAAGUGCGGGUAGAUUAUGUCAGUGUUGAGAAAACAGGAUCACUUUACUGGACAAAUUCUCUGGAAGUUGCAUCACACGCAUAACUUCAGAAUACUCCCACAAAUCUCUGGAUCUGUUUGGAUGCUUUGAUGAAAUGUGUCUGCGGUCUGCACCUGCUAGAGCCAUAGAUUUUCUAUGGCUGGAGUGGUAUUGAGUGGUAACCUAAAGUUAGCCAAGACAUUUCUGUGAAAAUGAUCUAAUGUUAGUCAGCUGUCGACAAAGAUGUGGCCAACACAUCACUGGGCUAGAAGAAAAAUAAGCAGUUAAAAGAAGGUGUUGACACCUCGGGCGACAUGGCUCAGGAGGUAAGACCGAUUGUCUGGCAGUUGGAGGGUUGCCGGUUCAAACCCCGCCCCGGGCGUGUCGAAGUGUCCUUGAGCAAGACACCUAACCCCUAACUGCUCUGACGAAUGAGAGGCAUCAAUUGUAAAGCGCUUUGGAUAAAAGUGCUAUAUAAAUGCAGUCCAUUUACCAAGAAUAAAGUGAGUUUUUUAAAAAUUUAGUUUUAAUGUAGAAGAAGCUUAAUAAUGGCAAGUGUUGCUAAUGGCUGGCAUAAUGCCCCACAUCCCCUUGCCCUACUACUACACCAUGGCCUGGAGAUAAUACAUCGCUCCUCUUGCCUUACUACAACACCAGGACCCUGGGGUAAUACACCACUCCCCCUGCUCUACUAGUACACUAGGACCUGGGGAUAAUACACCACCUUUCCUUGCCUUACUACAACACCAGGACCUGGGGAUAAUACACCACCUUUCCUUGCCUUACUACAACACCAGGACCUGGGGAUAAUACACCACCUUUCCUUGCCUUACUACUACACCAGGACCUGGGGAUAAUACACCACCUCCCCUGCCCGACUAGUACACCAGGACCUGGAGAUAAUGCACCACCAUUCCUUGCCUUACUACAACACCAGGACCUUGGGAUAAUGCACCACCAUUCCUUACCUGACUACUACACCAGGAUCUGGAGAUAAUACACCGCUCCUCUUGCCUUACUGCUACAUCAGGACCCUGGGGUAAUACACCGCACCCCCCCGGCCCUACUAGUACACCAGGACCCAGGGAUAAUACACAACCUUUCCUUGCAUUACUACUACACCAGGGCCUGGGGAUAAUAUACCACCUCCCCCUGCCCUAAUAUUCCAGGACCUGGGGAUAAUACACCACCUCCCCUGCCCGACUAGUACACCAGGACCUGGAGAUAAUGCACCAGCAUUCCUUGCCUUACUACAACACCAGGACCUGGGGAUAAUGCACCACCAUUCCUUACCUGACUACUACACCAGGAUCUGGAGAUAAUACACCGCUCCUCUUGCCUUACUGCUACAACAGGACCCUGGGGCUUUGGGGAUCGUUUGCUGAGUGAAGUGAAGAAGCUGGCUCCUAAAGAUGUUAAAAUUAAGAUCUCUGCACCACAAGAGAGAUUGUACUCCACAUGGAUUGG